GAUGAACGCUGGCGGCGUGCCUAAUACAUGCAAGUCGAGCGAACAGACGAGAGUGCUUGCACUCUCUGACGUUAGCGGCGGACGGGUGAGUAACACGUGGGUAACCUACCUAUAAGACUGGGAUAACUUCGGGAAACCGGAGCUAAUACCGGAUAAUAUUUAGCUUCGCAUGAAGCAAUAGUGAAAGACGGCUCUGCUGUCACUUAUAGAUGGACCCGCGGUGUAUUAGCUAGUUGGUGAGGUAACGGCUCACCAAGGCAACGAUACAUAGCCGACCUGAGAGGGUGAUCGGCCACACUGGGACUGAGACACGGACCAGACUCCUACGGGAGGCAGCAGUAGGGAAUCUUCCGCAAUGGACGAAAGUCUGACGGAGCAAUGCCGCGUGAGUGAAGAAGGUUUUCGGAUCGUAAAACUCUGUUGUAAGGGAAGAACAAGUACGUUAGUAACUGAACGUACCUUGACGGUACCUUACCAGAAAGCCACGGCUAACUACGUG
rnacentral:rRNA from 1 species